ACUUAUCAUUAGGGUUUUGAGUCCAAGUGAUUAGAACAACUCCCACUAUUGUUCGCUCCUCGCAGUUCAUCCAUAGAUAGAACAUUCCCUGGCUCCACCAACAGUGCCAACGAUUUCCCAGCAAGGUAUAUUUAUGAUUAUGCGCUGUUUUUUGUUGUUGGGUUUUGAUUUGCGUAUCAUGAAUUUUGGGGGUUUUACUUGUGUGCUACCGUAUCUUGAAUAAUGAUGGGGAUUUGAAUAUUUAUUUGUUGAAUUGGUGAUUCAUAUGGGUUGGCUUCCAUUCGUCUUGUUAGGCCUAUGAGUCUAUGACUCAGUUUAACAUUAUACCUUAAAGUUUCUCCAAUUUCCAGUAUUUGACAUUUUUUAUAUUUGACAUUGUUAGGCAUAUGGGCACCUUCGUAUCUAUUUCUGUUUCACUAUUUCAAUUUGAGACCAAUUGCGUUAAUUAGUGGGUUAAAUGUGAUUGGACCAUCAAAAUGGGGCUUGGGCGUGGAACAUUCAACGCCAAACAGCCAAAAUUCAAAAAAACGCCCCGGGGGCCGACUUCGGUCAUGUUUGGGCGUGCUUCAUCACAAAAACGGCCAGUUUCACAACGAGUACACAUGGUCUAAAGUUUGAAAGUGUAGUCUUUCUGCAAAGUAAGGAGGAUGUAAUUAUUCUUGGGUUGUUAACGGGUUAGGGGAUGUUUGGUUGAAGAUGGAAGGAACUAGGAUUUUAGUUUCUAUUUAUGAACUGAUGAGUGUUUAUGUAUUUCACUGAGCCCUGAGAACUAAUUAAAAUGUGAUGUAUCUCUGUUUUUAGUAGACCUAUAUCAUGUGUAGCUUUAUAAAGAUCGCUAUUGCUAGUACACAAAACUAAAAACUUCAUCAUAAAUUUGGUGGUUUGCUCUUUUUCACGGUUGCAUUAAGUGUUAAGAAUUACAUUAACAAUAUUCACUGGCAAGUUUUAUGAGGAUGAUAUAACAUAGAUGUGACAAUUUUAAUUCAUGUAUUUGGGCAUUAGGUUAAUUUGGGUUAAUUUUUAUCUCAAACGGGUCAACCAAACCUAACCCGCCCCUUGUGACCCAUACUUUAUAAUAACACUAGCCCUAAAGAAGCCUAAACCAUGUCAAAAAAUUACAUCGAGUCAACCAAUUAAACAAAACAUUACCAUACUUUUCCAAAAAAAAAAAAACAAUGGAAAAAUACUGCUUGGUAUGAAUAAAAUUACAUCGAGCCACUCAAUUAAAACAACACACUACCAUAGUUUUGUAAAAAAACACUAAAAUGACUUUUACAGUGGGGGCAAAAUCAUAAUUUGACAGGAAAAAACAAAAACAAUGGCAAAACUAUACAUUUGAGCUUAGGGCAAACCAAUGUCAAAAAUGUAAAUGAACAUGUAUUUAUAGGGGAGGUUUAGCCCAACACUCCCCCUAAACCCUAAGCCCAUUGUACCCCUAACCCAUUACAUACAAGCUCAUUCUCAUUAAUAUACAAACUAGCCCAAUCAUUAUGUAACAACUAAUGUAUAAACCUUAUUGGCCCAACAAAGUUCGAAAGCAUAUUCGUAGCUUAAACGGGCGAAAUCGUAAUUUGGCUGAGCAAUGGGAAAGUGUCAGGCUUGCCUGACACUGUUCCCCUUUUUGCCCCACUCGUGUUGCGGGACACUAAGUCGAAUAUUUCUCUUUAAUAAUAUGUGCGUAUGUGUUUUGGUUACUUAUACAUACUACUCAUAACACGAUCUAAAUAAAUUUUUAUUGAGUUAACCAAUUAAAACAAAACACUACCAUACUUUUGCU
rnacentral:lncRNA from 1 species